UACGUAGGCAGCAAGCGUUGUUCGGAGUUACUGGGCGUAAAGGGUGUGUAGGCGGUUGUUUAAGUUUGGUGUGAAGUCUCCCGGCUCAACUGGGAGGGUGCGCCGAAUACUGAAUGACUAGAGUGCGGGAGAGGAAAGUGGAAUUCCUGGUGUAGCGGUGAAAUGCGUAGAUAUCAGGAGGAACACCGGUGGUGUAGACGGCUUUCUGGACCGUAACUGACGCUGAGACACGAAAGCGUGGGUAGCAAACAGG
rnacentral:rRNA from 1 species